rnacentral:rRNA from 1 species
CCUUAGAGUUUGAUCCUGGCUCAGAGCGAACGCUGGCGGCAGGCUUAACACAUGCAAGUCGAGCGGGCGUAGCAAUACGUCAGCGGCAGACGGGUGAGUAACGCGUGGGAACGUACCUUUUGGUUCGGAACAACACAGGGAAACUUGUGCUAAUACCGGAUAAGCCCUUACGGGGAAAGAUUUAUCGCCGAAAGAUCGGCCCGCGUCUGAUUAGCUAGUUGGUAGGGUAAUGGCCUACCAAGGCGACGAUCAGUAGCUGGUCUGAGAGGAUGAUCAGCCACAUUGGGACUGAGACACGGCCCAAACUCCUACGGGAGGCAGCAGAAGGG